rnacentral:misc_RNA from 1 species
CAGGCAUUUGAUUGCAUGUGAUUCCAUGGAAAAUUCAAAAUCAGUGAACAAGGAGGACGUGAUUCCUGAAGAAGCGAAGGUGAAAUUGAAGAAAUUGGCGUCAGAAUGGGACGAUAUAGUGGAUCCGAAUGCAUUAGAUGUGUUCAGAUUGAAGGGCGCGAUGACGAACGAGGUGUAUCAAAUCAAAUGGCCCAGUAAGAACCCGGAAAAGCAACGAUCUAGGAAGGUGUUGGUGAGGAUCUAUGGGAAAGGUGUUGAUGUGUUCUUUGAUCGGCAGAAUGAAAUUAAGAUUUUUGAGUUUAUGUCUAAGCAAGGCCAAGGACCUCGCUUGCUUGGUCGAUUUCAGAGUGGUCGUAUUGAGGAAUUCAUUCGAGCUCGGACAUUAUCAGCUCCUGAUCUGCGUGAUCCAGAGAUAUCUUCCUUGAUAGCUGCCAAAAUGAGAGAAUUUC